rnacentral:misc_RNA from 1 species
GCAUGCAGCUGCAAAUUGCAAGGUGAUUACAAUUAUUUCAAUAUUAGAAAAAAAGUUUUGCUUAUUUGAACAUUAUUUUACAGUUGAUUGUUCUAUUGCUAUUCAUUGAAUAAAAAAAAAUCAUGCAUCUACAUAGUGGGAGAAAUUGAAAUGAUUUGAGAUGUUUUCAAUUUUCUUGAAAAUCUAAAUGAUGUACAGUACCAUUUAUGAAUAUAGGCUCACUUUGUUUAACAGGAAAUGUUUUCCCUAAAAAAUUUUCGACAUUUUCUAGUGUUUGGGUUUAAGGAUGGCAAUGGAUAGGGUAUCUGUAAAAAUAUUCUAUCUAAACCCAAACGCAUCCUAAAUUCGAUUAUUAAUACCCAAAUAACACCAUUGAUGAUAGUAACUUCCCUUUUCUUUUCUUUUAUUUUUUUUUUUUUUCCCUCUAUU